UUCGANUGGGCGAAGCCUGACGGAGCGACNCCGCGUGAUGNAUGAAGUGCCUUGGUACGUCNACAUCUUUUAUCGGGGACGAAGUUAUUGACGGUACCCGAUGAAUAAGGGGCUCCUAACUCUGUGCCAGCAGGAGCGGUAAUACAGAGGCCCCAAGCAUUACCCGGAAUCACUGGGCGUAAAGGGUGUCACGGCGGCCUUGUUAGUCUCUCGUUAAAUCUGCGGGCUCAACCUGCAGGCUGCGAGGGAAACGGCAAGGCUCGAGGGCGCGAGAGGUGCACGGAACUCAUGGUGGAGGGGUGAAAUCCGUUGAUAUCAUGGGGAACACCAAAGGCGAAGGCAGUGCACUAGCGCGUUUCUGACGCUCACACACGAAAGCCAGGGGAGCGAACGGGAUUAGAUACCCCGGUAGUCCUGGCCCUCAACGUUGCUCGCUCGUUUUACGGAGUAUCGACCCUCUGUGAGACUAAGCUAACGCGGUAAGCGAGCCGCCUGGGUAGUACGAUCGCAAGAUUAAAACUCAAAGAAAUUGACGGA
rnacentral:rRNA from 1 species